AUGUUUCUGGCAGGCUCAGAAGUGCUGGCUGUUCUUCCCCAGCCUCCCCACUCUCCCUCCUCUGUUCCCCAUGUGGAGGUGGGGGGUGCUGGGACUGGGGAGGGGGCAGCCACCUCCAUCCAAGGCUCUUCCUAGGGGCCCUGCUAUUGUGGACAGCAGACUUUAUCCCUCCGUCUUACUCUGGGCCAAGACCUCCCACUCCGCUCUCUGAGGAUGGUACCAAGAAUGGGCCUCUGGGACUUCUCAGGACAUUGACAAUGUGCACACUGCAAGUUGACUUUAUUUAUUUAUUUUGUGAAAAGAAGAGACAGAAAAUACCUUAUUAUCUGCAGGGACUCAAAGCUGUACCCAAAUCAAGAAAGAAAAUAACAGUAGAAACCAUUCACACUCUGUUCAUGCACGGACACCAGAAGACGAUUCAGAACACCAGAGGAGAAUAAGCUGGAGUGCCAGCACCACGAUGGCCCCGGGAUGUUGUUUAAGAUCUGAGAUCCCUUGGUUUCUCUCAUGUUUAUCUGAGAUGCCACAUCAGGGCCCUUACUGCUGUAUUACCUCUGCCCGGGUGUUUGAGACAGAUCACAAGUACGUGGGUGUUUCCUGGAAAUGUAUUCCCCUGGGACUCAGUGAUGCUCUGGGAACCGCUGGGGUUUGGGGAAGGACAGUGUGGUGUGACUAUUGGCUUGACACAUUGUGGAUGUGGUUGGAGUCACCCACGUGGACACGAUUUUCAGCUUGGAGCUGGGAUGAAGAAGAUGGAAGCGCUGGGGGCCAGGCCUCCUUUUCCAGCAAGGCCGGCCCUGGUUUCUCCUCUGUUCCAGCUUGUCUGCCAGAAGCCUUCCCCUGCAAAGUGCCCACCUGCCUGGAGACAGAGGGAGCAGCUGAGGCCUCUCUCCACUGGCCGCCAGCCUCCCCAGCACAAGAGGACUAUUCAGCAAUGAGUGUUUACUCAUGUUCUUUCUUAUUGAUGAGUUCUGCGGCCCAGCCUAUAGAAAUGGUUCAGAACAUUCCAGGCCUUGGUGAGACAGGGCAGCAUCCAGCACUCACAGGCUGUCCCCGCUCUGCCUGUUCCCAUCUUCCCCUUGGGGCCUGUUCAUAAAUUGAGGAAUGGAUAAGGGCCCUAGAGGGUCCUUGGGAGUAGUUAGUGGAGGGCAGGAUUCCCAGGUCCCCGUAGAGAGGGAAGGAGAAGCCCACAUGUGCACAGAAGCCUGUCUCUGUCAUACACAUACCACAGGUUGUCACCGAUUUAUUUUCCAAAAGCUUAGAAACAUAAAGCAAAUGUAGGCUUUUGUCCUUCUGCGAUACAUGCACUUGAAAAUAAACAGAAAAGAGAUGUUUAAUAAUAAGUUUACUUCCUGUCUGCUAGCACCCUCAGCCUGGGAGGUACUGCCAGAGGCUGGCGUAGUGGAGCAGCUGCUGACCAAACCCCACAGAACGGAGGCACCAGUCAUCACACGACAUCUUUCCCUCCCAUGUCUGUCAUCUGUCUGUCUGGCAAUGGAAGGAGCUCCAGCAGGAGGUCCUUCCCAGAAGGUUGAUUCUUGGCCUGGGUGGUAGAGGAGACAUCCUGACCCUAAAGUCUUCCAGCCCCAGGUCAUCCUCUCCUAUGCUGGGGUCUAUUGACCGUAUAGGCCAGGUGCGGUGGCUCAUGCCUGUAAUCCCAACAUUUGGGGAGGCCAAGGUGGGAGGAUUGCUUGAGCCCAGGAGUUGGAGACCAGCCUGGGCAACAUGGUGAGACCAAUUGACUGUAGGGCUUGUCCCUUGCUAGAACAGGAGCAGAAGACUGAAGAGCUGUGUCCUCAAGGCAGUCCCCUCCCACCCCCAUUCCCAAAGUCAGAAAGCGAAGCCAGAUCUCAAGGGCUGAUACCUGAGGCAAGGAGAGCUAAGGGGAGAGAAAGCGGGGUGGGGUGGGAGCAGACACCCUCACAAGCCAAGUGUGUCUUACUGAUCUGUACAAGCUGAUAGAAGGACCAUCUGCCGAAAUCCAGGGCUCCUGAGUGGGUGGGUUUGCUUGUGAAGCUUCGAGGACAAGGCGCAGCCAGAUGGAAGGGAGAGGACCCAGGACUUCCUAACGCAGCCGCGCCACCUCUCAACUCGCUGCAGUUUCAGAGACAGUGGAAGCUGCUCUUUACCUCAAAAGCACAAAGCAGAACUGGCAACUUCACAUGUCUCAAGAGCUUCAAGAUCCUUUGGUCUCGUGUCCUUUGGCACCCCACAACUGUAUGGGGGACAAAUUUGUUACGUGUUUCCAAGGCUACAGACAUGGUGCCAUCCUCACGGGCCUAGCUCAUGUUGUGGAUCAGGUACUUUGCUGGGGGGAUACAAUGACCCAGGUGGUCUGCGUCCUCUGCCAUUGGUUUGAACAGGGCACCCCCGAAGUCUCCAUCUCGGCUGUAUAUUCUAGUCCAAAUUUGCCUGGCUCCCCCACUCCCUCCCAGGUCCUGCACACUGUCUUUCUGCCAACACCUCAGCCCUGUGUGCUAUUUCAUGUCUGCAUGGUACGAGACCUCGCUUCACAGCAUACACUGCCACGGCAUGUACACGUGCAUCCACGUGUGUGUACGUGUAGCAUGUAGCUCAUUCUGCUCAGCCUCUGGUGCCGUUCCACAUUGCUCCCAGCCCCACUGCUGUCACUGUCAUCCCAGAUGUCCUUGCCAUGGCCACAGACAAUCUGCCGUCUCCUGGAAACGCUGGGGCUGCCCUUCAGAGAGCUGGCAGCCGCUGGCAGUCAGGGCCUGCUUUGCAGAAUAGAAUGUGAACCCAUCUCCUGAUGGCCUACUUGACUUAUUUAAUUAAAGAUGAAAACAUGCAACGAG